rnacentral:rRNA from 1 species
GAACGAUACCAAUGGGCUUGCUCAUUGGGAAAGUGGCGCACGGGUGCGUAACGCGUAUGCAACCUACCUCAAUCAGGGGGAUAGCCCGAAGAAAUUCGGAUUAACACCGCAUAAAAACACAGUACAGCAUUGUACAAUGUUCAAAUAUUUAUAGGAUUGAGAUGGGCAUGCGUGUCAUUAGCUAGUUGGCGGGGUAACGGCCCACCAAGGCGACGAUGACUAGGGGAUCUGAGAGGAUGACCCCCCACACUGGUACUGAGACACGGACCAGACUCCUACGGGAGGCAGCAGUAAGGAAUAUUGGUCAAUGGAGGCAACUCUGAACCAGCCAUGCCGCGUGCAGGAAGACAGCCCUCUGGGUCGUAAACUGCUUUUAUUCGGGAAUAAACCUACUUACGUGUAAGUAGCUGAAUGUACCGAAGGAAUAAGGAUCGGCUAACUCCGUGCCAGCAGCCGCGGUAAUACGGAGGAUCCAAGCGUUAUCCGGAUUUAUUGGGUUUAAAGGGUGCGUAGGCGGCUUAUUAAGUCAGGGGUGAAAGACGGUGGCUCAACCAUCGCAGUGCCCUUGAUACUGAUGAGCUUGAAUGAACUAGAGGUAGGCGGAAUGUGACAAGUAGCGGUGAAAUGCAUAGAUAUGUCACAGAACACCGAUUGCGAAGGCAGCUUACUAUGGUUUUAUUGACGCUGAGGCACGAAAGCGUGGGGAUCAAACAGGAUUAGAUACCCUGGUAGUCCACGCCCUAAACGAUGAAUACUCGCUGUUAGCGAUAUACAGUUAGCGGCUAAGCGAAAGCGUUAAGUAUUCCACCUGGGGAGUACGCCCGCAAGGGUGAAACUCAAAGGAAUUGACGGGGGCCCGCACAAGCGGAGGAGCAUGUGGUUUAAUUCGAUGAUACGCGAGGAACCUUACCCGGGCUUGAAAGUUAGUGAAUCAUUUAGAGAUAGAUGAGUGAGCAAUCACACGAAACUAGGUGCUGCAUGGCUGUCGUCAGCUCGUGCCGUGAGGUGUUGGGUUAAGUCCCGCAACGAGCGCAACCCCUAUGUUUAGUUGCCAGCACGUUAUGGUGGGGACUCUAAACAGACUGCCUGUGCAAACAGAGAGGAAGGAGGGGACGACGUCAAGUCAUCAUGGCCCUUACGUCCGGGGCUACACACGUGCUACAAUGGAUGGUACAGAGGGCAGCAAGCUGGUAACAGCAAGCAAAUCUCAAAAAGCCAUUCACAGUUCGGAUAGAGGUCUGCAACUCGACCUCUUGAAGUUGGAUUCGCUAGUAAU